CCUCUCCAUGCCAAUAAAAUUUUUUCUCCUUAUAUGUGCGAUAUUUUUAGGAAAUUUUUUAUGAAAGAUUAGUUAGAGAACUGAUUUACUAUAAAAAAAUAUGGAAAAGAAUGUCCCAUAUUUUUUUUGAUAUAUUUUGGGAUGUGAAAUUGUGAAGGGAGGUGAAAUUCUGUAAGAGUCCAAGAUCACUAAGACUCUUCACCCCACCUCCUUACAUGCCUAUGAAAGGGGUUUUUGUGGUUUCUUUUAUGCGU
rnacentral:lncRNA from 1 species